rnacentral:rRNA from 1 species
CCUACGGGUGGCAGCAGUGGGGAAUAUUGGGCAAUGGGCGCAAGCCUGACCCAGCAACGCCGCGUGAAGGAAGAAGGCUUUCGGGUUGUAAACUUCUUUUGUCAGGGAAGAGUAGAAGACGGUACCUGACGAAUCAGCCACGGCUAACUACGUUCCAGCAGCCGCGGUAAUACGUAGGUGGCAAGCGUUGUCCGGAUUUACUGGGUGUAAAGGGCGUGUAGCCGGGUUGACAAGUCAGAUGUGAAAUCCUGCGGCUUAACCGCAGAACUGCAUUUGAAACUGUUGAUCUUGAGUACUGGAGAGGCAGACGGAAGUCCUAGUGUAGCGGUGAAAUGCGUAGAUAUGAGGAGGAACACCAGUGGCGAAGGCGGUCUGCUGGACAGCAACUGACGGUGAGGCGCGAAAGCGUGGGGAGCAAACAGGAUUAGAUACCCCAGUAGUC